rnacentral:RNase_P_RNA from 2 species
GCAGCUUCAAUCUAGCGGAAGGGGUAUACAAGCAAGGUACAUAGUUACCACAAUUUCACCUCGGGAAGGUCUGAGAUUAAACCAAUAAACAUUCUAGACGGAUGAUACCAUAAGGGUAUGUACGGGAACCAGAAAUAGCUUUACGUUGCCAAUUAGCCCAGGAAACUUCAUUUGAAGUAGAGGUACUUGGAAACGAAAAGAUGGAAACCCGUAUGGUUCGCUGUUUGAGUACAAUCCGCAAGCCAGAAAAUUUAUCUUCUGGAACUCAAUUCAGACUAAUCUGAGGUUGC